rnacentral:piRNA from 1 species
UCAGACACACUGUGCCUAUCUGUACAUGUC